GACGAACGCUGGCGGCGUGCUUAACACAUGCAAGUCGAACGGUAAGGCUCCAGCUUGCUGGGGUACACGAGUGGCGAACGGGUGAGUAACACGUGGGUGACCUGCCCUGCACUUCGGGAUAAGCCUGGGAAACUGGGUCUAAUACCGGAUAGGACCAUGGUGUGGAUACUGUGGUGGAAAGUUUUUUCGGUGUGGGAUGGGCCCGCGGCCUAUCAGCUUGUUGGUGGGGUAAUGGCCUACCAAGGCGGCGACGGGUAGCCGGCCUGAGAGGGUGGACGGCCACAUUGGGAAUGAGACACGGCCCAGACUCGUACGGGAGGCAGAGGUGGGGAAUAUUGCACAAUGGGCGGAAGCCUGAUGCAGCGACGCCGCGUGGGGGAUGACGGCCUUCGGGUUGUAAACUCCUUUCACCAUCGACGAAGGGUUUCUGACGUAGAUGGAGAAGAAGCACCGGCUAACUACGUG
rnacentral:rRNA from 1 species